UACGUAGGGCGCAAGCGUUGUCCGGAAUCAUUGGGCGUAAAGAGCUCGUAGGCGGCCUGUUGCGUCCGCUGUGAAAUCCCGGGGCUUAACCCCGGGCGUGCAGUGGAUACGGGCUGGCUGGAGGCAGGCAGGGGAGAACGGAAUUCCCGGUGUAGCGGUGAAAUGCGUAGAGAUCCGGAAGAACACCGACGGCGAAGGCAGCGUCCUGGCCGAGCACUGACGCUCAGGCACGAAAGCGCGGGGAGCGAACAGG
rnacentral:rRNA from 1 species